rnacentral:piRNA from 1 species
GACAUGCAUAGAGGGAAGACCAGGUGAAGA